rnacentral:lncRNA from 1 species
AGGGGAGGUACCUUGAAAUAGGCAUGAGGAUUGAAUCAUAUUCAAUCACAUAAUACAAGUUCUACUUGCAUUGGAUUUCCUAUUAACUUAAGUUAUCUAACUUACUUUAGGAGACCUUUUAGGUGCCAACAAUUGGAACCCUUGCACCCAUAAUUAGAUAUCCCAAAACACACCCAAGAGACGCCCCAUAAGAGAACUAAAAGCCCUCUAAUCAAUGGACACGUCUAACUUAAUCAAAUCAAGGUGGAGCCUAAGAACUCUAUCAAG